GAUUUCAACAGCAUGUACAAAAAAGUUAAAGCCUUUGCUGAUAGUCUAUAUUUAUAUUGUCUACACGUAUGAUUGAGUCCGUUGUA
rnacentral:ribozyme from 1 species